CAAUAGCUCCUCCUCUAUUUCCAUACACGUUGCCUCGUUAUCGACCACCAUCUUCGCCUCCACCGCCCGAUGCCACUUCCACCUUCAUCGUCAAACAGUUGCACACCUUCGCCUCUAGCCUCCAUUUCCAUAUGACAGAUUGUACACUACUACACCACCACCGGUGUUGGUUCCUACACCUCCACCAAAAAAUUCCUCUUCUCAACCACUGAAAUUGAGAUAUAUUCUUGGUUGAGAUAUAUUCUUGGUGGUCGGAAAGAAGAAUAUGAAAUGUUUUUAAAGGGAUGAAGGAAAAAGAAAAUUAUCUAACUCAUACAAUAUAUAUUCCUUAUGGGAGGAAGGAAAACAAAAUGAUAUGUUCCUAGUGCUUCCACUAUCCUUCCUAUUUCUAAAGUUUUUUCUGUUUAACUUGGUUUUAAUUUUGGUUACAAAUUCUAAAUUGGUGGCAGUGAUGAUAUCAACGAUGGCGGUGAUUAUGGUAUUAGUGGUGUCGUUGAUGAUGGUAUUGAUGGUGGCCGAUGGUUAUUGGUGAUAAUUAUAGUUACGAUGGUGGUUAGUAGUGAUGAUAACCAUGAUGAGUGGCGAUAUAGUGGUGGUUGGUAUUGGUGACAGUGGUGGUAACCGAUGAAUGAUCGUGGUGGAUGGAUGUGAUGGUGAAAGGAUGACGAAGAUAGUGGUGGUUGGAGGUGAUUGAUAAAGGGGAUGAAGAUGGUGGUUGUGGUGAAUAGAGGUGACGAUGGAGAUGGUAGUGAUGGAACAUGUUAGUGUAGACAGAUAGAGGUUAAGAUAGUGGGAUGAUAAAGAUGGCAGUGGAUGGAGGUGAAUGAUGAGAUGAUAAAGAUGUUGGUGAUGGAUGAUGGUGGAGGAAGGAUAAAGAUGGUUGAUAGAUGAGGUGGUGAGAAAUGGUCUCUUAAGUAUAUACUACCUCCGUCCCAAAUUAAUUGUUCAUAUUUGAUUUUUGAAGUCUUUAUUAUUCAA